rnacentral:rRNA from 1 species
GAUAAACGCUGGCGGCGCACAUAAGACAUGCAAGUCGAACGGACUUCUUUGAUUUGUUUUACUUAUUAAAGAAGUUAGUGGCGGACUGGUGAGUAACACGUAAGCAAUCUGCCUACAAGAGGGGAACAACAGUGAGAAAUCACUGCUAAUACCGCAUAAGCUAACAGCUUCGCAUGAAGUAGUUAGAAAAAGGAGUAAUCCGCUUGUAGAUGAGCUUGCGCCUGAUUAGCUAGUUGGUGUGGUAACGGCAUACCAAGGCGACGAUCAGUAGCUGUGCUGAGAGGCAGAACAGCCACAUUGGGACUGAGAUACGGCCCAGACUCCUACGGGAGGCAGCAGUGGGGGAAUAUUGCACAAUGGGCGCAAGCCUGAUGCAGCGAUGCCGCGUGAGGGAAGAAGGUUUUCGGAUUGUAAACCUCUGUCUUCAGGGACGAUAAUGACGGUACCUGAAGAAAAAGCAACGGCUAACUACGUGCCA